rnacentral:lncRNA from 10 species
GCUCUCAGUGGUACAAAGAGGAAUAUUAUUUUUUCCUAAGCGGUUCUCAAGAUGCAGGUGAACCUUCCCUGCAUCUUGGGUCUCUGCUUUAAUGUUUUUCAUUUCUGAUAUGGUUUGGCCGUGUCCACUGUGGGGUGGUUUUCCCCAUACUGUUCUCAGGUAGCGAAUAAGUCUCACGAGAUCUGAUGCUUUUAUAAGGGGUUUCGCCUUUCACUUGACCCUCUUUCUGUCUUGCUGCCGCCAUGACGCUCACCUUCCGCCAUGGUUGGGAGGCCUCCCCAGGCACACGGAACUUCCUUUCAGGUCUCAUAUUCCGGUGUCUUUGUAAGUCAAGAAAAGAGACCUUCAAAAACUGGAAUUUGGAUUUGGGAAUCCCCUAAGGCAAAGCUUGUCUCUACAUAGUCACCUUAAAAUGAAGCCUGCCAGGAGACAUAUAGUCAACAUGCAACUAUCUUCCAACGAGUUUGUAUUAAUCCAAAUAAUUCAGCCAUAAUUAUCACUUAACAAUCAACAAAUUAAGUCAAUAUAUCUUAUUAAAAUUGAUUUUGUUAUG